rnacentral:misc_RNA from 1 species
AAGUCGUAACAAGGUUUCCGUAGGUGAACCUGCGGAAGGAUCAUUAAAGAACGCCCCGUUUUUUACAAAUUGGGUUCAAAUGACCCUAACCGCUGUAUACCUUACCUUCGUUGCUUUGGCGGGUCCGGCCUUGAGGCGUUGGCUCCGGCUAACUGCGCCCGCCAGAGGACCCAAACUCGUUUGUUUAGUGAUGUCUGAGUACUAUCUAAUAGUUAAAA